ACUUACAACACGCACUUCCUACCACGUGACAUAAACAAACCACGCCUCCCGUGUUGCCUCAAACAAAACAGGAAAGAACCAGACGCAUCUCCAGCAGAUGUCGCCAAAGGACUGAUUCCGGUGAAUCCGUUAAUGAAUUGCUUCUUUACAAGGUGUGAGCGUGAAUAAAGGACUGAGUGUCUGUCUUCAUGUGCGGCCUAUGAAGGAUGGUGAGUGAGUGUCUGCUUCUAAUUCGAAGUCUCAUCACUUCUGAAAAUGUGUCUGAAGCAGAGACUCAGAUCAAGGAGAUUUUGGAUAAUGAAAGAAGCAAAAAGGGCAGAAAGUCAAAUCACAAGCACCAUCAUCAUCAUCAUCAUUAUCAUCAUCAUCAUCCUCAUCAUCCUCAUAUUCAUCCUCAUCAUCAUCCUCAUCAUCCUCACCAUCAUCAUCAUCAUUAUCAUCAUCAUCAUCCUCAUCAUCAUCAUCAUCAUCAUCUCGUAUUCAGCUGCUUCGUCUUCUCCGCAGACUCGGAGGAAGAGUUCAACAUCCACACCAUGGACGAGGGACGGAACGUCAGCUUCCUGAGCCUCUUUUUCUCCUCCCGAGCCACGAAGGUUCUGUGUAGGAACACGUGUAAUGCAGGGGAGAUCCUGCUUGAAACAACCCAGGAUCGAGCUCCAGAGGUUUGAGAUCAGGAUCACUGGAGCCCCCCCCUCGUCUGUUCGCCCGUGGCCGUGGGGCUGUUGGCUGCCGUCCUGCUUUUCCUCCACAGACUCAGGACGAAGACGCGCUCAGAGCGGAGGUGACUCUGCUGGCAGUGGCCUAUGAACGCAACCAACAUUCAGUCCAUUCGUAUCCUGACGACUUCACGGUUCAGGAACCUGAAACGCCUUGAAAGGUUCACUCCUCAGUCUACAGCAGCGCUGCUCAUCUACAGUAUCUGCAGUAUAUCAAUCAUAGCAUGACACCAAGCGACAUGAACACAGACACUCUUAUCACCUGGUGCCCUGGAGGUUUUGUUUUAAGAUCAGAUCCAGCAGGGAGACACACCUCCACCUCCCCACAUGCAGGAGAUAAAGCAGCUUGCCUUUGUGUUGGUGCAUUAUUAAAGUCCAGACCUGAUGUUUACUGGCGUCAUUAGAUGAAUAAAGAGGAGCAACAUGUUUAUAGA